rnacentral:rRNA from 1 species
UACGGAGGGUGCGAGCGUUGUCCGGAAUCACUGGGCGUAAAGGGCGCGUAGGUGGCCUGUGGAAGUCUGCGGUGAAAGCUCGGGGCUCAACCCCGAGUCGGCCGUGCGAACUGCUGGGCUGGAGCACUGUAGAGGCAGGCGGAAUUCCGGGUGUAGCGGUGGAAUGCGUAGAGAUCCGGAAGAACACCGGUGGCGAAGGCGGCCUGCUGGGCAGUGGCUGACACUGAGGCGCGACAGCGUGGGGAGCAAACAGG